UUGUUAUCUAGCCAAGGAAAAUAUAACGUGGGACUCCGAGACCCACACAGUCUCUUUUCGGCAGCCCAAUGGUACCAUCUUUGAACCCUCACUGUCAGUUGGAAACGAGAAUGACACUUUCACUGUUCUCAAUCUGGCUGUAGCAGCGAGUAGACAAACAGCGAAAUUACUGGUUUUGAAAUACUCUAGAAUCCACUGUAAUUAAUCUCAUGAUUAGAGCUAUCAUUAGAUAUCAUUUAUUUUGUCAUUUUUAUGACAAUGUGUUCUUAUGGCAUUAUUUUGAAUUAUGGCCCUUUCUUUUAUUAAACUAAAUUCUAGUAUUUUCCAUUUAUUUGUUAAAAGUCUGAUACUGCAAUUGGUGUCUUAAACCGUGAUUUCAUUUUUGGAGACUGCACCCCAUCUCUAUCCAAAUGUAUUUAUUCAAGGAGUACUCAAUUUACUUAUCACAAGAUCAAGCUCUUCUAUGUUUCAAAAGAGAAGUUUGAAAGAACUAUUGCGGGGCUAUAAGGAUCCAUUCUUGAGCUCGAUUCCACACCCUAUUACUACUACAGUUGGUGUGUUUUAUCCUACCACAACACUUCAGAUGGAGUUUAUAAAGUUUUCAAUGGAAAAGACUACAUAAGCCAUAUUGCCAUAAUUGACACAUUUAAAGGCAUAAAGCAUGUCUCUUAGCGGGCAAGCGAUUGUGACAUGAGUAAUGGUACAGGUAUCUGGAUUUACUUUAUGACUUGAAAAACAGCUGCAGAUCAAUAUACUGGUUAAGCCAGCAAGAAAAAUUGAACUGGCACCAUUUGGUGAUGAGAAGAGAGCAAUGUUCAGAAAUCAAGUGGCUGGAAAAAUAAACCUCCUUGGUCUGGUAGAAAUGAUCUUAAUGAGUGUUGGCGUGGUGAUGUUUACUGCUUUUACGAUUUCAUACUGUGCAUGAAGAUCAAAGUAAAAUAACACUAUUUACAAUACUCAAGACAAGGAAGCAAACUAA